GGUGCCCGUGGCCGGGAAGGCGGCGUUCUGAUGACGCCCGUCCGCGCGGCCCGCCCCCGGUUCGACCCCGAGCUCGCGCCG
rnacentral:tRNA from 1 species